GAUGAACGCUGGCGGCGUGCCUAACACAUUCAAGUCGAACGGUGAUGGAUCCUUCGGGAUCCUGAUCAGUGGCGGACGGGUGAGUAACGCGUGAGCAACCUGCCUAUCAAAGAGGGAUAACACAUGGAAACGUGUGCUAAUACCGCAUGAAGCAACGAGGUCGCAUGGCUUUGUUGUUAAAGGGCAACCGAUGAUAGAUGGGCUCGCGUUGGAUUAGAUAGUUGGUGAGGUAACGGCUCACCAAGUCGACGAUCCAUAGCCGAACUGAGAGGUUGAACGGCCACAUUGGGACUGAGACACGGCCCAGACUCCUACGGGAGGCAGCAGGUGGGGGAUAUUGCGCAAUGGGGGAAACCCUGAUGCAGCGACGCCGCGUGAGUGAAGAAGUAUUUCGGUAUGUAAAGCUCUAUCAGCAGGGAAGAAAAUGACGGUACCUGACUAAGAAGCCCCGGCUAACUACGUG
rnacentral:rRNA from 1 species